ensembl:lncRNA
AAUUGAUCACAUGGUUCUAUGGGUAUAUGAUUGGGGGUUUGGCUAUAAAGAUCAAUCUAUUGCAAAUAUGAAUAACAUGGCAAUAGGUUUUGAACAAUGAUACAUAUAUAGCCCAGUGGAAUUGCUUGUCAGCUCCAGGAAGGGGAAGGGAAGAAAGGAGGAAAAGAUCAUGAAUCAUGUGAAGAAACUCAGGCCUAAAACUCUGAAUGCUUAUUUCCUUUUCUUCACCCUAUUUACUCAACUUAUCCAUUAUGAGAAAACUGAAAGAAUGUUGGAACUUCAGUCAGAGGAAGUGAGUUCGAAUUUUAUUUCUGGGACUCCCUAUUUUAUUUCUGGGACUCCCUUUUUUAUUUUAUACAUUCUGUUUACCUAGAACAAAUCAUUUCCAUUUUCUGGGCCUCAUUUUGUUGGAUUUGAAGAUCUCUAAGGUCUCUUUACAUUUCUAAAUCCUUUAUCUCCUCUAGGUCUUCUCUCUCAUCUAUUUUCUCUUUUUACCUGCUUUCCCCCUCUCAUCAUUUUUCUGUUUUGCCUCUCUCUCUUUCAAUAUCUGUCCCUUCUUCCUCUAUUGUUUUUUCAUCUAUUUCUCAUCCUUUGUCUUUUCCCUCUCUUUUUUUCUCCAUUCUCUGCUUUUUUCCUCUGUUUAAUUUUGCCUGGUUAUAUCUAUCUUUGAAUCUUUCUUAAUCUUUAUUUCUCUCUUAUUUCUCUCCAUCUUUCUCUGUGCCUCUGGGUAAAUGUGUGUGUUUCUGUCUAUCUUGAUAACUCUCUAUCUCUCCUGAGACAUGAGAUAAUAUUUGUAAAGCACUGAAACUGACUUCAGAAACUGGCAGAUAGUAGGUGCUUGAUAAAUGCUUAUGCCUCCUACCCAACUGCAUACUAAGAACUGGCCAUAUGAAGACAAAAAUGAAGUUAUUGCUUCCCUUAAGGUGCUUAUAUCCCAUCAGGUGAGAAAACACACUGCCAAGCCAUCCAUAGUCUUCCAUUACUCUCUUCAUCCGUGACCUUUUGCUUACCUCUUUGUAAAUUUAUUUUGCAUUACUCCCAGUACUAAAGUAAUGUAUUUUAUAUUACUCUCAUCAAUCACAUGUUUCAAAACUAAGCUGGAGAAAAAUACAAAACCAUGUUAAUUAGAUCCAGUACAAAUCUAUUAUAGUACAUAAUCUCAACUAGAAUCUCUCUGCAACAAAGUAAUCCUUUUAUAUCUUCCUAAAAAACUCACUACUCCACUCACCACAGUGCCUUUUACAAAUCUUUUCAUCCCACCUCAAUUCUUUCUCCCCUCCCAAAUCAUCUGAGAAGCUUGCUUCAUAUUUCCUCUCCAAAAUGAAGUCAUUCACCAAGAACUCCUUCUCAUCUCAUAUCAUUCAAAUGUCCAUCACCACGAUUUCUUCCUUUACUAUUGUCUCAGAAAAAAAGGUGAACUCCUUGACUAGGUGAAUCCUUCUAUGUGUAUAUUCUGUCCUAUCUUCACCAAAUUUCCCCUUUUAUCCUCCCUCUCUUGAUUAUUCUUCAAUCUCCACCUGUCUUCUGACUGUUUACCUUACUGCCUAAAAACAUCCAGCUCCACUAGCUAUCAUUCUAUAUAUCUACUCCCUUUUGUGGCUAACAAUCAAUGCCUCCACUUCCUUUUCUCUCACUCCCUUAACUUCCUAUAGUCUGGUUUCCAAUUAUAUCAUUCAACUGAAAUUGCCCUCUCCAAAACUGUCAAACACAAAAUCUAAUGUCCUUUCUUUCAACCUCUUUUAUCCUUAUUGAAAUCUACAGCUUUUGACAGUCUAUUACCAUCUUCUCUUUAAAACUUUCUUCUUUCUAGGUUUUUGUACAAAGAUCCCCCCCCUCCCAAUUUCCUGCUUCUCUUCUUAUAUUAAUUGGUUUUGUUUAAGGAACAAAUUUUAAAUUUCAUACAAUCACAUCAGUCCACUUCACCUUUUCUAUCUAUUAUUUGGUCAUGAAUUCCUCCCCUAUCUAUAGAUCUGAGAAGCAAUUUUCUCCUUGCUUCUCGAAUUUAUGUUACCCUUUAUAUCUAAACGAUUUGUCCAUUUGGAGUUUCUUUUGGCAUAUAGUGGUGAGAUGUUGGUGUGUACCUAGUUUCUGAUUUCCUGUUUUCCUAAAAAGACUCUUGUUGAAUAAUGAGUUCUUGGCCUGAAAACUGGGGUCUUUAUGUUUAUCAAACAUAGAUCUACUAUGCUCAUUUGUCUCUGUAUAUUAUAUACCUAUUCUGUUCCAUUGAUCAACUACUCUGUUUCUUGGCCAGUACCAAGUUGGUUUUAUUAUUACAACUUUGUGGUAUAGUUUGUGAUCUGGUCCUGUUAAUUAUCCUUCCUUCCCAUUUGUUUUCAUUAAUUGUUUUGAUCUUUUUUGUCCCUCCAAAUGAAUUUUGCUAUUUUUUCUAGUUCUUUAAAGUAAUGCUUUGGCAGUUUGAUUGAUACAACAUGAAACAAGUAAGUUUGGUAGUAAGCUCAACAAUUAAUAUUUCUCCAAUUAUUUGGUCAUUUUCAUUUCCAUACAAGUGUUUUGUCCUUAUGCUUAUAUGGUUCCAGUGUGUGUUUUGCCAAGUAUUUUAUACUAUAUGAAGUUAUGUUAAGUAGAAUUUCCCUUUCUACCUCUUCUUGAUGAAUUUGGUUGGUAAUAUACAGAAACUCUAAUGAUGUCAUAAUUUAUGUAGUCUUAUUUUAUAUUCUUCAAUUUCACUGAAGUUGUAAAUUGUUUUGAUUAGUUUUUAGUGGACUCUCUGGAGUUCUCUAAGUAAAUCAUCAUAUCUACAAUAACUGAAGAUUUUGUUUCUUCAUCUGUGCUUAUUCCCUCAAAUUUCUUUUUUCUUGUCUGGCUGGUAUAGCUAGCAUUUCUAAAAUUAUAUUGAAUAGUCAUGGUGAUAAUGAGCACCCUUACUUUAGUCCUGAUUUUAUUGGAAAGGCCUCUAAUUUAUUCCUAUUACAGAUAAUGCUGUCCCUGGGUUUCAGAUGAAUAUACUUAUAUUAACAAAAGUUACAUUUAUUCCUAUGCUUUCUAGUGUUUUUAAAAGGAAUUAGUGUUGCAACUUGUCAAAAAGCCUUUUCUGUAUUGAUAUGAUCAUGAUUUUUAUUGUUUUGUUAUUAAUGUGGUCAAUCUUAUUUAUAACUUUCCUAAUAUUUGCCAGCUUUAUAUUCCCAGCCUGAUAAUAGUAUACAGUAUUUGUGUUAUAUUGUUAAGGUCUCCUUGCUAAUAUUUUAUUUAGAAAUUUUUGCAUCAGUAUAGUUUUUGUAUAGUAUAUGGUUUUUAUUCUGUUUUGACUUUUCCUAGUUUAGGUUUGAAGACCAUAUUUGUGUCAAAGAAAGAAUUUCUUUUCUUUAUUUUUCAGAGAGUUUUGUAGUGUUGGAAUUCAUUUUCUUUAAAUUUUUGGUAGAAUUUAUUUGUGAUGAAUUUAUAUAGUUCUUGAUUUUUUCAACUUCUUUUUCUAAGUUUUAUUUAAGUCUUAUAUUUCCUGUUCUGUUCAUCUGACUGUCAGACAUUUUGACUAGUUUUCCUUAAUACUUGGUACUCCCUCUUCAUCUCUGCCUCCUAGCUUCUCUAACUUCCUUCAAAUUCUAACUAAAAUCCCACAAGGCUUCCACAAGAAGUCUUCUUUUCUUGAUCUCUCUUAGUUCUAAUUCCUUCUCUCCCCUGAUUACUUACAAUUUAUCCUCUAUAUAUCUUGUUUGUACAUAGCUGCUCACAUGUUGCCUCCCCAGUUAGAAUGUGAUCUUCUUAAAAGCAGGGACUCUUCUUGUUUUUGUUGUUUUGUCUUUCAUUUUUAAUCCCAGUGUUUACCAUAGUAGGUACUUAAUACAUGACUGACAUAAGUAUGCAUAAAUAAAUAUAUAAGAAAACACA